rnacentral:lncRNA from 9 species
GUAUAUGGCACUGUACUUAGUAACGGAGAUAACCCUAUGUGAUCAAGGGGGACAAAACUUCUGCCUUUGUAAGACAGGAAUCUACUUCCAAAUAUUAAGGUUCGAGCCAUCUGGGCCAAAUGUAAUGACCAGCUGCACGUUGUUUAAAAUGUAGCCAGAAAUGCCUCAGACAUCUCUCAGGCUUCUGGUUAUGUUCUUAAGUUUUAUUACCCCAUGAAAGGCAUUGAUGAUCUCUGAGUUUAAACAUUUUCCACUGGACCUCAAGAGUCUUUAGCUAGAAAUCUGACAUGAGAUCCAAGACUUGGUUGUAACUUUCUAAUCUCCUUUGGGAUCAAUGAAGACACACCAAGAGGAGCUCCUUCAGAGGUAUGGCACACUGGAAUGGCCAACUUUGGAGUCAGGCUCUUUAGAUUUGAAUCCCAGCUCUGGCACCUACUCUUAAGGUGACUUUGAACAAGUUACUUAACCUCUUGGUAAAAAAGAGAGAAUGAUAGACACCAUCUCAGGGUGUUGUGGUGAAACUUAAAUGAGAUGCUGUAGAUACAGAGCAAGUACAGCGUGAAUGUUAAUAAUAACAUGGUGAUGCUCUUCAUGACGGUAACGGUAAUGACAAUGAACACCAAGGCGUGUGGGAUGCAAUACUAUGUCUGUGGUUGGCUUACACGUUCUCUCUCUUGUUUCUUCUCCAAAGCCACUGCUUGAUAUUCAGGGCCUCUCUGCUACCCAGUUUUCAACUUGUUCCAGUUCAUUGUGUCUAUCAUCUUUGAGAAAAGCUCACCAGGAAUAUACCACAUUAUGACCCAGUUCUUAAAGAGACAAGAUAAGUGAACUUUCGACCAAUUAGAGAAAAAUUGAUGGAUAAAUUGUGCUGACCAGGAAUACAAUUAAAGUUCAAGAAAGAAAUGGAUCUAUAAAGGAUGAUCUAAUUGCUGGGAUCCUUAAUGCAGCAUAGAGAGCAUCAAAGUAGACUUUCAAACUAAAUGAAUAGAAUUAGCAAAAUGAAAGAGAACAUGGUAUGUGAGGGGAAGCAGGCAGGGAAAGGAAGAGAUGAACUAUUUGGCAGAAUAGAGGCCGUGUCUGUUAAAGUCCUAUA